CUCGUAGGCGGUUCGUCGCGUCCGGUGUGAAAGUCCAUCGCUUAACGGUGGAUCCGCGCCGGGUACGGGCGGGCUUGAGUGCGGUAAGGGAGACUGGAAUUCCCGGUGUAACGGUGGAAUGUGUAGAUAUCGGGAAGAACACCAAUGGCGAAGGCAGGUCUCUGGGCCGUCACUGACGCUGAGGAGCGAAAGCGUGGGGAGCGAACA
rnacentral:rRNA from 1 species